ACCCGUUGAUCCUGCGGGAGGUUGCUGCUAUUAGGAUUCGACUAAGCCAUGCAAGUCUGGUAGCAAUACCGGCGAAAUGCUCAGUAACACGUCAAUAAUUUGCCCUUAGGUUCGGCAUACCCUCGGGAAACUGAGGUUAACACCGAAUAGAGUAAUAAUUCUGGAAUGUCAUUACUUUAAAAGCAAUGCCUAAGGAUAAGGUGGCGGUCGAUUAGGUUGUUGGUGAGGUAAUGGCUCACCAAGCCAAAGAUCGAUAGGGGCCCUGAGAGGGGUAGCCCCGAGAAGGGUACUGAGACACUGACCCUAGCCCUACGGGGUGCAGCAGGCGCGAAACCUUUACAAUGCACGCAAGUGUGAUAAGGGAAUCCUAAGUGCUUUGCUUUUAGCAAGGCUUUUGCCAAAUGUAAAUAGUUUGGAGAAUAAGUGGUAGGCAAGACUGGUGCCAGCCGCCGCGGUAACACCAGCGUCCACAAGUGGCAACCAUGAUUAUUGGGCCUAAAGCGUCCGUAGCCGGUUUGAUAAAUUCUUUGUGAAAUUGUUAGGCUCAACCUAACAGCGUGCAGAGGAGACUGUCAAACUUGGAACCGGGAGGGGUUAGGGGUAUUCUGGGGGGAGCGGUAAAAUGUUAUAAUCCCCAGAGGACCACCUGUGGCGAAGGCGCCUAACCAGAACGGAUUCGACGGUGAGGGACGAAAGCUAGGGGAGCAAUCCGGAUUAGAUACCCGAGUAGUCCUAGCUGUAAACUCUGCGAGCUAGGUGUUGCAUAAUCUUCGAGAUUAUGCAGUGUCGAAGCGAAGGUGUUAAGCUCGCCGCCUGGGAAGUAUGGUCGCAAGACUGAAACUUAAAGGAAUUGCGGGGGAGCACUACAAGGGGUGCGGCGUGCGGUUUAAUCUAAUUCAACGCAGAGAAUCUCACCAGAAGCGACGGCAGGAUGAAGGUCAGUUUAAAGGGCUUACUUGACGAGCCGAGAGGUAGUGCAUGGCCGCCGUCAGCUCGUGCCGUAAGGUGUCCUGUUAAGUCAGGCAACGAGCGAGACCUGCACUUACAAUUGCUAACGAGUCUGCAAAGAUGAUUGAGCACAUUGUGAGGACUGCCUCUGAAAAGGGGAGGAAGGUGCAGGCUACGGUAGGUCUGUAUGCUCCGAAUCUUCUGGGCUACACGCGCGCAGCAAUGGUAGGGACAAUGGGCUACAACUCCGAAAGGAGAAGUUAAUCCUCGACACCCUAUCUAUGUCCAGAUUGAGGAUUGUAACUCAUCCUCAUGACGCCGGAAUCCCUAGUAAUCGGAGUUUAUCAUACUCCGGUGAAUAUGUCCCUGCUCCUUGCACACACCGCCCGUCAAGCCACCCGAGUAGGGUUUAGAUGAGGCCUUAUUUUUAAUAAGUUCGAAUCUAUACUCAGCGAGGAGGGCUAAGUCGUCACAAGGUA
rnacentral:rRNA from 1 species